UUUCAUUCUCUUUUAUCUUAUUACCUCUUUCUCAUUGCUUCCCUCUCACUCUAUAUUCAUCAUUACUAUCGCUCUCUUAACGCUUUCUUCCUAUCUCUCAUCCUUAUUUCUCUCCCUUUCUCUCUCAUUCUGCACCCCUCACACUUUCUUGUGUAUUCCAUUUCACUUAUUCCUAUCUCUUUCUCAUACAUCUCUUAAUUCCUAACGCACUCUCUCACUAACUCUCCCACUCAUCCCCUCUGUCUCUCACUCUUUUUCUGUACCUCCCUGCCUCGCUCUUGUUUUUUUACUGCUUAUUCUCUUUCUUAGUCUCUCUCACUUACUCUCUCCUCCCUAUCUCCAUCUUUUAACUCUUUAUUAAUCUCUCUCCCAUUCUCUCUCCUCUUCCGUCUAUAUUUCCCACUGUUUUUGUACACCCGUCUCUCACUAUCACUCUCUCUCACUCUGUACCUCUUUUUCCCCUCACCCCUUCCUCACACUAUCUCUCUGCUACUUGUUCUCUCCAUCACUCUCUCUCUCUAUCUUCAGUUAAUUCUCACUAUCUCUCUCUCUCUCUCAUCACUCUCUCUUCAGUUCAUUCUUUCUAUUUCUCACCUCUCUCUCUUUAGUUCAUUCUUUCUAUCUCUCUCUCUCUCUCUCUCUUCAUCUCUCUCUCUUCAGUUCAUUCUUCCUAGCUCUCUCUCUCUAUAAUAACCCCUCUCUUCUCCUACUCUUCCUCUCACUCACUACUCCUCGCUCUGUUUAUCCUUCUCUCACUCUCUUCACUCCCCCUCCCAUCCCCUUACUCUCUCUCUCUCUCUCUCUCUCUCUCUCUCUCUCUCUCUCUCUCUCAGUGUGUGCAGUAAUAGAAGGCAGACAUGGCGACGGUGGUCCAGCCGCUGACUCUGGAGCGAGAUGUGGCGCGGGCGAUCGAGCUACUGGAGAAGCUGCAGGAGUCAGGAGAUGUUCCUGGCCACAAGCUCCAGUCCCUGAAGAAGGUUCUUCAGAGUGAGUUCUGCACGGCCAUCAGAGAGGUCAGUUAUCUCCACCCCCAAAAGUCAGAAAUGAACAUAUUUAACCUGUAAAAACAGUAUAUUAGUGGGAAUAU
rnacentral:lncRNA from 1 species